GCGGGGGUACCCGAGCUGGCCAAAGGGGAUGGACUUAAGAUCCAUUAGCUUAGUGCUUUCAAGGGUUCAAAUCCCUUCCCCCGCA
rnacentral:tRNA from 1 species